GGGUCAGUGGUGUAGUGGUAGCACAUUACGUCCGGACGUGAAGAUGAGUGGUUCGAUUCCCUUCCGGUCCA
rnacentral:tRNA from 1 species